ACAGAGGGUACCAGUACUGGUCCUUGGCCUGUUAGGAACCACCCGCAGCACAGCAGGAAGAAUCUGCCAGCAUCUCUCAGAAAGAAACACCAAAAAAGACUGUUAAUAAGGAAUCAACUGAAGUAUUCACCGAGAAAACUGAGCUGACUGAAGAAGCAAAGAAUUACCAAAAACAUCUGAAAAAAAUCAACCAAUAUUAUCAGUUUGCCUUGCCCCAAUAUGUAAAAUAUCAAUAUCGCAAAAUUAUGGAACCAUGGAAAAACAUGAAGACAAAUGCUUACCAAGUUAUCCCCACUCUGGGAUUUUUAAGAUUCUUGAAUUCACUGCUUCUACUUUACUUUGGAAACAAUUUCUCCUUCUACCUCAUAGACUGUAUUGACUCUAUCAAGCAGAAACACAGAUAGUUAUUAAAAAUCAUAUUAUGUGC